CAGCCGCCGCGGUAAUACAGAGGGUGCAAGCGUUAAUCGGAAUUACUGGGCGUAAAGCGCGCGUAGGUGGUUCGCCAAGUUGGAUGUGAAAUCCCCGGGCUCAACCUGGGAACUGCAUCCAAAACUGGCGAGCUAGAGUAUGGUAGAGGGUGGUGGAAUUCCCUGUGUAGCGGUGAAAUGCGUAGAUAUAGGAAGGAACAUAGUGGCGAAGGCGACCACCUGGACUGAUACUGACACUGAGGUGCGAAAGCGUGGGGAGCAAACAGGAUUAGAUACCCCCGUAGUCCCUGUCUCUUAUACA
rnacentral:rRNA from 1 species